UACGUAGGGUGCAAGCGUUAUCCGGAAUUAUUGGGCGUAAAGAGCUCGUAGGCGGUUUGUCGCGUCUGCUGUGAAAACUGGAGGCUCAACCUCCAGCCUGCAGUGGGUACGGGCAGACUAGAGUGCGGUAGGGGAGAUCGGAAUUCCUGGUGUAGCGGUGGAAUGCGCAGAUAUCAGGAGGAACACCGAUGGCGAAGGCAGGUCUCUGGGCCGCAACUGACGCUGAGGAGCGAAAGCAUGGGGAGCGAACAGG
rnacentral:rRNA from 1 species